rnacentral:rRNA from 1 species
GACGAACGCUGGCGGCGUGCUUAACACAUGCCAGUCGAACGGAAAGGCCCUGCUUUUGUGGGGUGCUCGAGUGGCGAACGGGUGAGUAACACGUGAGUAACCUGCCCUUGACUUUGGGAUAACUUCAGGAAACUGGGGCUAAUACCGGAUAGGAGCUCCUGCUGCAUGGUGGGGGUUGGAAAGUUUCGGCGGUUGGGGAUGGACUCGCGGCUUAUCAGCUUGUUGGUGGGGUAGUGGCUUACCAAGGCUUUGACGGGUAGCCGGCCUGAGAGGGUGACCGGCCACAUUGGGACUGAGAUACGGCCCAGACUCCUACGGGAGGCAGCAGUGGGGAAUAUUGCACAAGGGGCGGAAGCCUGAUGCAGCAACGCCGCGUGCGGGAUGACGGCUUCGGGUUGUAAACCGCUUUCGCCUGUGACGAAGCGUGAGUGACGGUAAUGGGUAAAGAAGCACCGGCUAACUACGUG